rnacentral:rRNA from 1 species
CAUCAUACCAUGCAGUCGAACGAUGAAGCCCAGCUUGCUGGGUGGAUUAGUGGCGAACGGGUGAGUAACACGUGAGUAACCUGCCCUUAACUCUGGGAUAAGCCUGGGAAACUGGGUCUAAUACCGGAUAGGAGCGCCUACCGCAUGGUGGGUGUUGGAAAGAUUUAUCGGUUUUGGAUGGACUCGCGGCCUAUCAGCUUGUUGGUGAGGUAAUGGCUCACCAAGGCGACGACGGGUAGCCGGCCUGAGAGGGUGACCGGCCACACUGGGACUGAGACACGGCCCAGACUCCUACGGGAGGCAGCAGUGGGGAAUAUUGCACAAUGGGCGAAAGCCUGAUGCAGCGACGCCGCGUGAGGGAUGACGGCCUUCGGGUUGUAAACCUCUUUCAGUAGGGAAGAAGCGAAAGUGACGGUACCUGCAGAAGAAGCACCGGCUAACUACGUGCCAGCAGCCGCGGUAAUACGUAGGGUGCGAGCGUUAUCCGGAAUUAUUGGGCGUAAAGAGCUCGUAGGCGGUUUGUCGCGUCUGUCGUGAAAGUCCGGGGCUUAACCCCGGAUCUGCGGUGGGUACGGGCAGACUAGAGUGCAGUAGGGGAGACUGGAAUUCCUGGUGUAGCGGUGGAAUGCGCAGAUAUCAGGAGGAACACCGAUGGCGAAGGCAGGUCUCUGGGCUGUAACUGACGCUGAGGAGCGAAAGCAUGGGGAGCGAACAGGAUUAGAUACCCUGGUAGUCCAUGCCGUAAACGUUGGGCACUAGGUGUGGGGACCAUUCCACGGUUUCCGCGCCGCAGCUAACGCAUUAAGUGCCCCGCCUGGGGAGUACGGCCGCAAGGCUAAAACUCAAAGGAAUUGACGGGGGCCCGCACAAGCGGCGGAGCAUGCGGAUUAAUUCGAUGCAACGCGAAGAACCUUACCAAGGCUUGACAUGUUCUCGAUCGCCGUAGAGAUACGGUUUCCCCUUUGGGGCGGGUUCACAGGUGGUGCAUGGUUGUCGUCAGCUCGUGUCGUGAGAUGUUGGGUUAAGUCCCGCAACGAGCGCAACCCUCGUUCCAUGUUGCCAGCACGUCGUGGUGGGGACUCAUGGGAAACUGCCGGGGUCAACUCGGAGGAAGGGGAGGACGACGUCAAAUCAUCAUGCCCCUUAUGUCUGGGGCUUCCGCAUGCUACAUGGCCGGUACAAUGGGUUGCCAUACUUUGAGGUG